rnacentral:rRNA from 1 species
GACGUAGGGCGCGAGCGUUGUCCGGAUUUAUUGGGCGUAAAGAGCUCGUAGGCGGCUUGUCGCGUCUGCUGUGAAAGCCCGGGGCUCAACCCCGGGUCUGCAGUGGGUACGGGCAGACUAGAGUGCAGUAGGGGAGACUGGAAUUCCUGGUGUAGCGGUGAAAUGCGCAGAUAUCAGGAGGAACACCGAUGGCGAAGGCAGGUCUCUGGGCUGUAACUGACGCUGAGGAGCGAAAGCAUGGGGAGCGAACAGG